AUUGAACGCUGGCGGCAGGCCUAACACAUGCAAGUCGAACGAGUGGCGGACGGGUGAGUAACACGUGGGAACCUACCCAUCAGAGGGGGAUAACAAUUGGAAACAGGUGCUAAUACCGCAUACGGAUGGAUGGACACACGGUGCAUGAGCUAGUUGGUGAGGUAACGGCUAACCAAGGCCACGAUGCAUAGCUGACCUGAGAGGGUGGUCGGCCACACGUGGACUGAGACACGGCCCAGACUCCUACGGGAGGCAGCAGUGGGGAAUAUUGCACAAUGGGCGCAAGCCUGAUGCAGCCAUGCCGCGUGUAUGAAGAAGGCCUUCGGGUUGUAAAGUACUUUCAGCGGGGAGGCGUUACCCGCAGAAGAAGCACCGGCUAACUCCGUGCCAGCCGCCGCGGUAAUUC
rnacentral:rRNA from 1 species